GGAGAUGAGGGCCAUCUGGCCAUGACACCUAUCACCCCACUGAUCGCCAGGGUUGCUUUGGCUGAUCUGGCUGGUGUCCUCUUCCUCCCUCACGGCUCCAGGUGUGUCCCUCCCAAAGAUGCUACACCUUAUUGUGGGUGAGGGAUUUUGAGAGUUGCGAACAUGGACCUCCAGCUAGUUCUUUUGUAAAUUCUGCAUGUAGCCUAGCUUGCUUU
rnacentral:sRNA from 1 species